CCUCGCCGGUCGCCGCGGCAGCCAGUGAUGCCCGAGCGGCGGGUUCCCAGGCCCAGGUGUGGGCGCCACCGCCCACCAUGCGCCAAGCCCAGAGCCUGGUUGAAUCGUUCGCCACCUUGUCUACCCAUUUUGGCCAUUAUCCUGCCACCUCCAAAUCCUGUUUUUGACACUUCUCGGGAGAGAGAGAAAACGGAAAGAUAAAGGAAUAAACUCCUCGUGGUCGUAGUUAGUGGGUAAAUUCAGAUCUCGUUUGAACCGAGGUUUUUCUUAUCUCCAGCCACCGUAUCCACCACCACCAGAAUCGUCUUUUUAGUCAUCACAGCUGGUCGCCGUCAGUACCUUGUUCAGAAGCCUCUCGCAGCUUCCAUCGUGUGGUUAUACAAUCCAAAUUCCUUAUAAAGUCCAAAUUCAAGAGGAGGAAUGCACGUUUAGUUAAGUUAAUGUCUAGACCUUACCAGCCAAUUUCUAGCUCCUCAGUAUGGAAAUUGCAACUGAAAACACCCCUUCCAAAAAAAGCAGUCUGCAUUUUUCUCUGAGUUUUCUUCUCCAAAUUUCGCACCCCUGACCUUGCUUACACACUCUGGAUACCACCUGCUGUGGAGUGGCGGAAGCAGACAUCCAGCGAUAGCUAAGUUUCCUGUCGUUGACACCCAAGCAAGACAGGCGUGUACCUAACUGAGGACCUGCCGGUGAUAGAAGUCUCAGCUUUUCUCAGAGACAGAUGAGUCUUCCCUUUAAAUGCUGCAAAGUGCUGCAUAGUAGAUGUUAAAUGAAAGUCAGAAAGAAUCAAAUGUGCUGCAAAUAAUUGAAGUUCAACCCAAUGGAAAUAGAUUAAAAGAGUGAAAGUCACUGGUCUCAAAGAAUCUACGGAAUUCAGCAUUUUGGAAAUCACAUAGCAAUUUUGGGUAGGUAUUCACAUGCACUAAAAAACCAGGCAAACAUCCGACUCCCAGGAUAAAGUGACUGAGAGCAGUAGAAGACUUGUUGAGCCGUAAGGAAUAAGAGGAAAAUUAUGUUAUGAAGUGCAGGAACAGCACAGACCCAGACGAGGGGAUGCAGCCCAGAGCCAGUAACCCGGUGCCUCCUCCUCCCCAGGAAGCAGCGCUGGCUGAUCCCCAGAUACCAUGAUCACACCGUCCCAGGUCCUGAGAGCGCCUCAUAGGUAGACAGUUCUUUGGGACUUUUGGGACGCAGCACUUGAAGAGAGGUCUACCUAAACUUUCCUCCUGGGAGCCUGUGAUCAUUUGAAAGUAACAGAAGAAAGUUGUCAGGCUGAGGAAAGUUUCAACAGGCACUUGGUGAGAAUGGGAAGCAUCCAUUCAUUGCGAAAUCGCGGGGACAGAGGAGGAAUUCACGGGAUCAGAGCACUGAGAAACUCCAGAGGCUUCUGGUUCACCGCCCUGAUUCCACAGAUGUGGGUCAGAGGCAGAGAUGGAAGUUGGAAUGGACAAGCCUGCCCUCUCAUCGGCUCUCCAUGGCUCUGUCCUCAGGCUGUUUCUGCAAUUUGACAUGAGGCCUGGCCCCAGGGAAACCAGUGGGGCCUCAUCUCCUCCCUGUGCUGCUCUGAGAUGGAGUCUUCUCAGGGUCAGUCCAGCUCUGGAGCCCCUCUCCAGCUCGGUCACCAAAGCUGUCUGGUCCCAGGGCGGUGCUGAGUGACAGGCACACCAGCCAGUCCAAUUGGCCAUUUCAUACCCAAUGCAUGUGACUGAUAAAGAGAUAACACCCUGUCUCCAAGACACAGGCUUUACAUAAACAGCUUUAAUGACCUCUUCACCUAGAGACAAGACUCCUUAGUGGUGGAACCUCAGGCAUCCGUGCAGGAUGUAAGAAAGCUCCCGUAUAUACAUGAACUGAGAAGUGUGUAGAAGAAUAAAUACUGUAAUAGGUAAUAAAAUGUAUGUAUUUUUAUUUA
rnacentral:lncRNA from 1 species